GACGAACGCUGGCGGCGUGCUUAACACAUGCAAGUCGAACGGAAAGGCCCUGCUUUUGUGGGGUGCUAGAGUGGCGAACGGGUGAGUAACACGUGAGUCACCUGCCCUUGACUUUGGGAUAACUUCAGGAAACUGGGGCUAAUACCGGAUAGGAGCUCCUGCUGCAUGGUGGGGGUUGGAAAGUUUCGGCGGUUGGGGAUGGACUCGCGGCUUAUCAGCUUGUUGGUGGGGUAGUGGCUUACCAAGGCUUUGACGGGUAGCCGGCCUGAGAGGGUGACCGGCCACAUUGGGACUGAGAUACGGCCCAGACUCCUACGGGAGGCAGCAGUGGGGAAUAUUGCACAAUGGGCGGAAGCCUGAUGCAGCAACGCCGCGUGCGGGAUGACGGCCUUCGGGUUGUAAACCGCUUUCGCCUGUGACGAAGCGUGAGUGACGGUAAUGGGUAAAGAAGCACCGGCUAACUACGUG
rnacentral:rRNA from 1 species